UGCCCUGCCCCGCCCCGCCCCGCCCCUCCGGGGGUCCCCGCCCCACCCCCUCCCUGCCGGGGGUCGCCCUGCUCGGAGCAGCCGCGCGGAGACUGCGCGGCCUCCGCCUCCGUGCGCUCGCAGUCGUCGCUCCUCGCCCGCCUUUGUUCUCGGACCGCCCCUCUCGCUGGCGACGCUCCGAGAGAGCCGCGGAGCCACCUGCCAGGGCCGCGCUUCCCCGAGCAUCCAAAGCUGUCCCCGCGGGCUGUCGACGCCCGCGCCGGAGCGUGCGGGAGGCACGGCGGGAAGAAGUCGCUGAGAUUUGGCCCUCGCGGCUUUGCGUUCCCGCGUGGUUGAUGCCUCCGCCGAGAACGCGGUCGGCCGGGAGCCGGGGAGGAGCCUGGACGCCGGCCUGGCAGGUACCCCCGCGAGAACGUGGGAGCCGGUGGGUUUCAGAUGCAUUUAUUACUGAUGUCGGGCUGCAUCAGGGCACUUCUAGGACCGCACUGAAAACAGCGGGAAGUGAGGAGCCGAGCCUGGGUCCGGGGCGGCCCGCCAUACAGCUGGCCUGCGUCUCCAGAUGACUUGUUCUGGAGAGUAAAAAAUGCUCUCGGAUUUAAAGUACAAUCCUGUCUCCUUUCCAUUCAUUAGUGUUGCCUACACUCAGCAAACAAAAGUUGGGAAAGAUGAGGGGAGUAUUUCUAGCGCAUCACAUUGACAAACACCGACGUUAACACGCCCGGUCCAGCCUGGCCCACUUGCCUCAGGUCUGAGAGGUCACCACUGACAACGCCCGGACUUCAAGCCACUCCUAAUCCACCUUCGUUCUCUCCGCCGCAGCCAGACCAGCCCUACUGCCCUCGCCUCAACACGCGCAGGUGUAAGCUUCCGCUGCACUCCUUGUCUGAAUCUGCCCAGAAGAAACUGCAUCUUUCAACUAAAUACUUUUCACUGAUAAGGGCCCUCCAGUCAGAUUCUCUAGAUAGAGUUUAGCGUUUUGUGUGUUUUUUUGUUUUUGUGUUUUUUUGUUUUUUUGUUUUAAAUCUUCAGCUAUUUGGUACUCCUUUCCCUCCGGGAUUCUGUCUCUGGAUUGUGAAAGCUGGCAGAAGAUGGAGUCAGGGAAAGCCAUGAUGGGAAGGUUCUCACUAAUAACUGCCUGAUAUAAAUAAUUGGCACAAAAGACUGCCAAAACCACAACCUUGCACAAAGGCCACAAAACUACACAAAAAAAUGCUUCAAGGACAUUUGCACUGCAACUGCCUGUCCAACCUUGGACUGGCCAUCCCCUUUGUUACUUAUCUUUGUAGCCAAGGAUAAUUGUUUCAAAACAACUUACGUGAUCCUCCUCGUUUUUCCUUUUUAAACCCCUUGUCUUCCUUUACCUCCCUGAAUACACCUAUAGUUUAACAUCAUAUUCUACAUUGCAAUGCCCACUCUCGAAUAAAUUUGUCAUGUUUGGCAAACCUGCCUCUUAUUUAGGUUGACAAAUUCAAAUGCAAAUUUAUUCCGGAGUCAACAAAUACUGAUUCAGUCUUCCAAUGUGCAAGGCAAGGAAGAAUAUUAAGGAGGCACUGUAUAGAUUAGAUCCCUGCCUAUAGGCAGCUUCAACACUAAUACAAUAUGGUACGAAUAUACAAUUGUACUUUAAGGCAGCGUAGGUGGGAAAACAACUAGCAACUAAAAAAAAAAAAUGGAGUUUACUACCAACUAAAAAAGUGGAGGUUUCAAGGUUGACAUAGAAUUUGAAAACUGCUUUAAAGACAGGUAGGAAAGAUACAGGUAGAUGUGCAAUGGAAGUAGGCAUUGGGUUUCAAGCCCCAAACUGGCCCAGGGGUGGUAAAAUAGACAUACUCAGGUACAUUAAUCAUUCCAGUUUGGCAUAAGAAUAAGGUAAAUGAAGAUGGAUUCUAGGAGUUAAGGAUGAAAUAUGUAGGGAGGUACUAUGAGGUAAUGGAGAGAACAAAGAUUUAGAGUUAAGACUUUGGUUUGAAUCCCAGCAGUGCCACUUAUUAGCUAUGUGAUCAAAGGUAAAUUAGUUAAUCUCUCUGACCCUCCAUUUCCUCAUUUGUAUAACAAUAAUGUCCAAUUAUUCCACAAAUAUUUUAUGGAAAGCCAAGUAUUAACUAAGAACUAUGUUCAAUGAUGAAGAUAUAAAAAACCAUUUAUUCAUUCAUUCAUCAAAUACUGCCUUACCGUUUACUGAGUUAGGCCCUGGAAAUACAGUAAUAAGGGGGAAAAAAAGCACGAAACUGUAUGAGACCACUUAGAUUAUGCAGAUAUAGGUGAAAAUAAGGCCCAAGACCAAGAAGUCCAAAGGUACUCAACUUGUGGAAGUAAGAUAGAGAAGGAAAAAGAAGAAAACUAAGUGUAAAGUGCUGUAAACUGAAAGAAGAGAGUGUUUUAAAAAGAGGGACUGGUCACCUCUCCUAAUGGAGAAGUGUGUUUGUAAAGGAGUUAUUAUAAUGAUGAGCCAUGAAAUCUAAGCUGGACAAGGCAGGAAAUUUGAGGGCUGUAAGUGGUGAAAAAAGUCAAUGAACUGGAGAUUUCAGUAAGAUUGGAGAGUGGCUGUCUUCAGGGUACUAGAGGUGGUGAGCUGGAAGGACAGGAAAUGAUUGAAUGAGAAUAACUUGCUUGAAAUAAAGAUUUCAGAAGUCAUACUAAUAUUGGCAAGAGCAAGGUCUAGAGGAGUAAAAGGCAACUGAAUGUGAGUUGGUUAAGGAAUUAGAAAGUAGCAUACAGACAGUCCUAGCGUGGCAUAGUAGAAUAUGACUAUAAAAAUGACCAUGGAAGUUGAAAUUGUGCAAAGUGAUCUUAAUAAUCAAAGAGAAAAAUUAAAUUGUUCUGUGACACUUAAGAACUUUUGUUGAAACAUCAAAAACUCUCUUACUGCUAGGUAGACAUAUAUCACGAAUUUUUUUUAAUUGUAAAACUAAUUUAUUUAGUAUGCCAUAAUUUAAAACAUGAGAAACAUGGAGAAUCAGUCUUUAUUCUUUGUAAAAAACAAAAGAAAACAAAAAAACUUACCAAUAGUGGUGUGAACUGUGUUUGCCUCUUCUCAUAUGAUUAAUCUUCUGUCUUCAUAAAUUGUCAUUCUGCAUUCUAAGUUUAGAUUAGCUUCCAACAUUUUGUCUUUGCAUUUUCAAUCUUGUGAACUAUUCUCAGGAAUUCUUAAAUACAAAGUGUAUCAGCAACACUUCCUGUGGGCCUCUUCACCCUUUUGUCACAGCCACUUUACUCUCUUAACAUUAAUCAAUUCAUAAAAUGAUGAAACCAGAAUUUACUGGCUGAAAAAGGUUUUUAUUUAGUCUCUUUGUAAUUAUCAUUUUCUUUCAGCAAGACAACCAACUUCAACACUUCGCCCGAAUGCUAGCCAGACUGAUUGGGAAUAAAUUUAAAUGUAUUACAGUCUUCAAUCAAAAGCAGGAACAAGUCUUUAUAUCAGCCAUAAUUUGCAUUCUCUUUCUAGUGCAAUUUAAACUAAAAGAUCCUGAAGCAACUUUACCUUCUUUUUUCUACUCACUGAACAUUUUCUCCGUGGUGUCUAUGGUGCGUUUUGCGUAGGCUGAGGUCUCAUCCUAUCUUUGCUUUGCUUUUGUCAUUUUCAAAUUCCCUAAUCACGUCUAAUUUCAUUUCAGCAUUUUUUUUAUUCGCUGUACUUUCAUCUUUCUUGUCCAAUUCCCUUUUAAUUAUCCAUUUUUGUAAAAUAUCAUGUUAGUUUAUCACUGGGAAACAAGGAAGCUAUACAACUACAUGCUUUGCUGUUUAUAAACUGAAAAACUGAGUAACGGUCGUGCAGUGACCAAUAACUGACAGACUCUGAAAGAAGGAUUGUGAUAUCUGCUAUGGACUGAAUGUUUGUGCCUCACCCACAAAUUCAUAAAUUGAAGCCCUAAUUCCCAGUGUGAUGGUAUUUGGAAGUGAGAACUUUGGGAGGUGAUUAGAUUUAGAUGCGUUCAUGAGAGUAGAGUUCCCACGAUGGGGAUUAAUAUCCUUUCAAAAAGAAGAGACCCAAGAUUCAUAUUCCUUUUCUCUCUCUCCCCUGCCCCCACCCCCACCAAGGAAAGACCAUGUAAGGACAUAACCAGGAAGAGGGCUCUCACCAAGAACCCCACCACGCUGGCACCCUGAUCUCAGACUUUCAGCCUCUAGAACCUUAAUAAAAAAUAUUUGUUGUUUAAGCAA